rnacentral:lncRNA from 1 species
CAAACUCAUAAAUCUAAAACAAACUGACAACGCCAUGGCUAAAAAUGAAAAAGACAAACAGAAAAACAAUAGUACACAUGACACAACAUAGAAAACUAAGGAAUAAACAACACGAACCCCACCAAAAACUAGGGGUGAUCUCAGGGGCUCCGGAAGGGUAAGCAGAUCCUGCUCCACAUGUGGCACCCGUCGUGUUGCUUAUGUGAUUACAAAUCCGGUAAAUAGUCUAAUUCGGUAGGUCACAUUCAUGAAAGGGAAGGGGAUUGUAGUUACGACGUAAGGAACAUAUCCGAUAUCAUUUGUGAAACGGUUAUUCCAUAACGGUCAACUCGUGAUGGCGUCCGUAAAAUUUACGAAGGGAUGAUUUCAACUUCACCAUUUGGAACUCUUGGUUUAAUAGCUUCCUUGUGAGCAGUAACCC